UACGUAGGGACCGAGCGUUGUCCGGAUUCAUUGGGCGUAAAGAGCGUGUAGGCGGCCAUGUAGGUCCGGUGUGAAAACUCGAGGCUUAACCUCGAGAUGUCAUCGGAAACCAUUUGGCUAGAGUCCGGAAGAGGAGAGUGGAAUUCCUGGUGUAGCGGUGAAAUGCGCAGAUAUCAGGAAGAACACCAAUGGCGAAAGCAGCUCUCUGGGACGGUACUGACGCUGAGACGCGAAAGCGUGGGGAGCGAACAGG
rnacentral:rRNA from 1 species